rnacentral:rRNA from 1 species
GACGAACGCUGGCGGCGUGCUUAACACAUGCAAGUCGAACGAGGUCCAGCGAUCCUUCGGGUGAGCGAAGACCUAGUGGCGAACGGGUGCGUAACACGUGAGGAACCUGCCCCAGACUUGGGAAUAACAGUCGGAAACGACUGCUAAUACCGAAUACCUUCGUAACGUCGCAUGGCGAAUCGAAGAAAGCUUUUGCGGUUUGGGAGGGCCUCGCGGCCUAUCAGCUAGUUGGUGAGGUAACGGCUCACCAAGGCAUCGACGGGUAGCUGGUCUGAGAGGAUGAUCAGCCACACUGGGACUGAGACACGGCCCAGACUCCUACGGGAGGCAGCAGUGGGGAAUCUUGCACAAUGGGCGAAAGCCUGAUGCAGCAACGCCGCGUGCGGGAAGAAGGCCUUAGGGUUGUAAACCGCUUUCAGCAGGGAAGAAAAUGACGGUACCUGCAGAAGAAGGUGCGGCCAACUACGUGCCAGCAGCCGCCGUAAGAC